rnacentral:lncRNA from 1 species
ACAUUAUCACUGUCAGCUCGCUGAAGGGGGCCGGAAAGGCCCUGUCCUGUGGUGAUGAAGGAGGGGGCAGGGCGAAAGGGUCUUCUAGGUCAGGGAAGGAGACGUGACAUGGUCACCAGAAGCCAGCUGUGCCCUCAGGCCUCCUGUCAGUGCUGUAGCACCCAGGAGGCCUGGCGAUGAAGCACCCCAGAAGCUGCCAGAGUGGUAGGAAACAGCCUGACUGCAUAAAGCUUCAUUCACUAAGCACUCCCAUCUGUUCUAGAUGACUUCAUGCAGAAGAUCCUCGCUCUGCUCCAAGAUGCAGAGGAGCUGGUGGGACAGCAGCAGCCUCCAGGGCAGGAGACUGAGGCAGCUGUAGAAAGCCUGGCCCCAGCAUGCAGGAGGAAGUCCCAGGAGAAAAAGCCCAGCAGCCUCCGGAGAGCCUUUUCUCAUAAAAGACACAGCUCCAAGGAGCCCAGGAGAGUGGGGACUGUGGGGGCCGCCACCCCUGAGCCCCGGCCACCCAAGAGGCCCAGCUUCCUGCCCCUGUGUGUUGGCGGCUCUGACCCUGAAGGCCUGGAGUUCCGGGAGCCCUGGGCCGCAGAAGAGACAGCAUCUGGGUUCUCAGAAGCAGCCUCCCAGGCCAGGAGCUGCACACCGGACGGGGGCCAUCAGCCGGAGGGAGCACGAGAAUCUAGUCAGUACCUCCCCUGCCCUUGGGGGGCUUCGCUUGUGCACAAGUGCCACGGGCUGAUCAGCAAAGGGGGGCAGAUGCAGGUAGAGACACCUGUCUCUUUUGCAGGGAGGUGGGGGGACCUUGGAUGCCCUCUCAUGGGUUUGCUUGAAUGCUACAUAUAAGACCCUGGUCUAGCCGAGCAUGGUGGUGCACACCUAUAAUCCCAGCACUCAGGAGGCUGAGGCAGGAGGAUCGCUGCAAGUUCAAAGCCAGCCUGGGCUACAUAGUGAGAUCCUGUCUCAAAAAACCAAACUCCUGGCUUGCUUGGUCUGGUGACCAU